rnacentral:rRNA from 1 species
AGUCGAGCGAACAGACGAGGAGCUUGCUCCUCUGACGUUAGCGGCGGACGGGUGAGUAACACGUGGGUAACCUACCUAUAAGACUGGGAUAACUCCGGGAAACCGGGGCUAAUACCGGAUAACACAUGAAACCGCAUGGUUUCAUGAUGAAAGACGGUUUUGCUGUCACUUAUAGAUGGACCCGCGGCGUAUUAGCUAGUUGGUAAGGUAACGGCUUACCAAGGCAACGAUACGUAGCCGACCUGAGAGGGUGAUCGGCCACACUGGAACUGAGACACGGUCCAGACUCCUACGGGAGGCAGCAGUAGGGAAUCUUCCGCAAUGGGCGAAAGCCUGACGGAGCAACGCCGCGUGAGUGAUGAAGGUCUUCGGAUCGUAAAACUCUGUUAUUAGGGAAGAACAAGGAUGUAAGUAACUGUGCAUCCCUUGACGGUACCUAAUCAGAAAGCCACGGCUAACUACGUGCCAGCAGCCGCGGUAAUACGUAGGUGGCAAGCGUUAUCCGGAAUUAUUGGGCGUAAAGCGCGCGUAGGCGGUUUUUUAAGUCUGAUGUGAAAGCCCACGGCUCAACCGUGGAGGGUCAUUGGAAACUGGAAAACUUGAGUGCAGAAGAGGAAAGUGGAAUUCCAUGUGUAGCGGUGAAAUGCGCAGAGAUAUGGAGGAACACCAGUGGCGAAGGCGACUUUCUGGUCUGCAACUGACGCUGAUGUGCGAAAGCGUGGGGAUCAAACAGGAUUAG